UGGGGAAUAUUGGACAAUGGAGGGAACCCUGAUCCAGCCAUGCCGCGUGUGUGAAGAAGGCCUUAUGGUUGUAAAGCACUUUAAGCAGUGAAGAAUACAUCAUGGCUAAUAUCCGUGAUGAAUGACAUUAGCUGCAGAAUAAGCACCGGCUAACUCUGUGCCAGCAGCCGCGGUAAUACAGAGGGUGCGAGCGUUAAUCGGAAUUACUGGGCGUAAAGCGAGCGUAGGUGGUUUAUUAAGUCAGAUGUGAAAUCCCUGGGCUUAACCUAGGAACUGCAUCUGAUACUGACAAACUAGAGUAGGUGAGAGGAAAGUAGAAUUCCAGGUGUAGCGGUGAAAUGCGUAGAGAUCUGGAGGAAUACCGAUGGCGAAGGCAGCUUUCUGGCAUCAUACUGACACUGAGGUUCGAAAGCGUGGGUAGCAAACAGGAUUAGAUACCCUGGUAGUCCACGCCGUAAACGAUGUCUACCAGUCGUUGGGUCUUUUAAAGACUUAGUGACGCAGUUAACGCGAUAAGUAGACCGCCUGGGGAGUACGGCCGCAAGGUUA
rnacentral:rRNA from 1 species